CUGAGAAUGUCAUCCUUUCUCUGCCCAAUUUUCAGCUUAAAUGACAACCCUAUGAGCAGGACUGUUUGCAGCUCAGGAUGUUUGCCAUCACAACGGCAGAGCCGCAGUUCACACCCAGGCACGUUCUCCCCAAGACCUGUGGCUGCAACCACUGCUAUGCAUGGAAUGUGAGACGGACGGUGCUCGCCUAGCCAACAGUUGAUGCUGAAUACAUCUUCAUCUGUGUAUUGACCAUCUACCCUUUUCCCAUGAUUUGUUUGUCAAAAUUCCUUGCUAAUUUCCUUAUUAAAAAUGGUCAGUAUU
rnacentral:lncRNA from 1 species